AGUUUACGAAUUUUAAAAAACUUUUGAGUUUGAAAUAAACUUAAUUGCGAUCAUGUUUGUUACUAAACACUUACUUCUAUAUCAGCUAAUUGGCUCAGACAACAUGGCAAGUCGCUCGUCCAGUUGGCAGUGCCUCGAUGACUACGCGAGCGGACAGCUUUUUCCUGGUGUCAGAGCGUCAAACUAGUUUCUAAAUAUUAAUUUGGCCAACAUAAAACGUAAAUUGAUUGAGGCCAUUAAGCAGAAUCCGCGAUGGGGCGAAACGGGCUGGGCAGCCAGACGCAAAGCAAAAACAAAAACGAAAAUCAUUUGCACACCAAACAAAUGACGAUAAUUAAAUGUACUGUUAGCUGAUGACCAGAUAAUCACGGCGCUUCGCAAAUAGUCAUAUAGAUAUUUUAGUUCUUAGCUAACUGGAUAACAACCGCAAUUAUGAUAGGCAAGGUCCCAGGUCCGGCCGAGCUGCCAGCGCCAAUCAGCCGUAAGUAAAAUAAUAGCUAUGCAAACGAUAUAUUAAAUGAUCAAAUAGCCAAUUCGAUAAGUGAGAGAACAGCUCGUAUAUGGCACUUAAAAUAUUCAGUUUUACGAAAUAGGCCAAGCCAUCUGGAAUCGAGCUCUGUAGCGCACUCAGUGGCAGCCAAUGCUCGAUUGCAGUUUUUAGUGAAGCAUGCGAAAGGGUAGCACGAAAGCCACUUGGUAAUUAAACAGGUUUCAAAUUAACAUAAAAUUAAAUUAAAUAAAUAAAAGCGCUGGGCUCGGGCUCGGAACUGAGUGCCAGGCUGUCAGUUAGCCCCAGCUUGCCAGGUUGCCUCAGCUUGCCAGGUUGCUAAGUUGCCUGUAAACAUGUUUCAACGCCGCGCAAAAUUAGCAACUUGUAGCCGAGUGUCUCUGUCUGUCUGUGUCGGUGUAUGUGUGUGUGUGUGUGUGACUGUGCAACAUGUUGCCUGGCAGAAUGCCGACGCUUAUAGAUAAAUUUCUGUCAAAAUUGCUGAUUGACUUCAUUAAUAACCACGCGCCAAGACGCCAGCCGCAGUCAAAGUUUCAUUCGCUGCCGCUGCCGCUGCUGCUGCUGCCAGCUGACAACUCAACAAGGCAGCUGCUGAAAAGCAAGCAGCCUGCCGCAGGGGGAGGGAUGCGAGGAAAGCGUGGGCAAAUUAAUAGCAAACUUGUAGCUGACUGCUUGUAACCUGUUGGGAGGGUCCGCACGGUACCUGUAUCUGCAUCUGCAUCACCAUCGACUCUAGCAUCGACAUCGGCAUCGGCAUCGGCAUCGGCAUCUGCAUCAGUAUCUGAAUGCGGUGGCACGAUUGAUAAGUUGCUUGCUGCGUGGCCAUGUUCAAUGUCCAAAUGCUGGCACAACAUGUUCUGGAACUGGUCACACAAACACACACACACACACAGAGCUGUCCUCUACCCACCGCAGCAGCAACCAAAGAAAUCAGUGCGAAAAUUUAUGUUGGUCCGCUGGAAUUUUAAUGUGCGUUGCCUGCCAAUGAGGAAGCGAUUUUGCAUGCACAGCAUUUGGCCAUCGUCGUUGCCGUUAAAUGCCGUUUAAUUGCGUUACAAAAACCGUUUGCUUUUAAUUGGUCAACUUUUGGUACGCGACGGCUCGAGCUUCAGCUCCGUUCGAAUUAUAAAUGCCAGGCAGAUAGCUCAAUAAAUGUACAGAUUAGUUACAGACGCAAUCAAUCAGCAUCAAACGUUCGCCGCGCCAAAUUGUCAGUCGCAAAGCAGCAAAAAGCAGGAGAAUGAAAAGGAAGAAGAAGAAAAAAUUACAAAUCUGCGACUUGAUAAUAGACACUACACGCGAGUGCGCCAAGCCUGCAGAUCAAUCCUUUCUAUUCAACAAAUUACACUCACAAAUUGUGAAAUCCCAAUGACACUGGCUGAAAGUGUCUGUCGAACAGGAAGAGAGAGAAAAUCUGGAAGAGCGAUUUGUAUUUGCAACCAUACUUCAAUUCAAUCAUGUAUGGCUGACUCGUAUGACUUCUUUAUUUGCUCUAUCAUACCUUAACUCAUUUUCAUUAGAUUUGCAUUUCUGCCUAUUGUGAACCCCAAAUUUACUAAAGGAUAUUUCUUAAAAUUCAUGAGAAUUAAGGGCAAACCUUAGGCUAUUUCAGUUUCUCUUAAGGGCAAACAGAUCAUUUCUUCGUCUACACUUGUUCUUCAAUUAAAUUGAAUGCAAUAAAUAGUCAAAUGCGAAUCGCAUAGAAGUCAUCUCAUCAAACUCACGCGCCAUACUCUUGUUACUAUUGCAAGAGCUUCUUGCUUGUUCUGUUGAAUUAUCUGAUGGUGUCUGAAGUCUUACUUUCAGCUAGUAUCAUUGCAGUUGGCAUGCAUCGCGUGUGUAUCUGUUUAUGUGGGCUCGUAAUUUGGUUGCCUUUCACAAAAGACAUUUGACGUGACUAGCAACGGCCGGCAGCAGCAGCAAUCGCCGGCGGACCACGGACAGCCGACAGACUUUGUUGACAACGGACAUGGCACAUGGAAAACGGACAGCCUUCUCGUCGCACUCAGACGCAGUCGCAGUCAUUCACGUCCGACAGUUGGCAGACCGUUGAUCAUCAUCGUAUGUGCUAUGCAUUUUUUACGAGACACAAGAUGACGCCGUAGCCGUCACCAUAGCCAUAGCCAUAGCCAUAGCCAUAGCCGUGGCAGUGUUGAGCGCCAACUGUGAGCUACAUAAAUUUGUUGUGCUGGCCGGCGAAAGGCAGAAAUUAAAAUGCGCUUAUAAAGCAAUAAAUUGAACAUAAUAAUAAUAACGAAUAAUGACCACAUAAUGAAAUAAGAUGUGCGAUACGAAAUCCUACU